ensembl:lncRNA
CGCUCCUUCUCGGCAGGUUUUGCCCCGUUUCGCUAUUUAUUUAUUUUUUCCCCUUCGCUCUUUCUCCGCAGGUUUUUCCCUCGCUCCUGCUCGCUAGGUUUUGGGUUUUUUUUCCCCCCUCGAUCUUUCCCCGCAGGUCUUUUUCUCUCGUUCCUGCUCGCUAUUUUUUUUUUUUUUUCCCCCUCUCCAUCUUUCUGGGCAGGUCUUUUUCUCUCGCUCCUGCUCGCUAGGUUUUGGGUUUUUUUCCCCCACCCCGGAUCUUUCUCGGCAGGUCUUUUUCCUUCGCUCCUGCUAGCUAGGUUUUUGGUUGUUUUUUUUUUCCCCCCCAACUGGGUCUUUCUCCGCAGUUUUUUUUUUCCCCCUCGAUCCUUCUCGCUAGUUUUUUUUUUCCCCCUCGAUCUUUUUCAGCAGGUCUUUUUCCCUCGCUCUUCCUCGCUAGGUUUUCUCUCCUCGCUCUUUCUCGGCAGGUCUUUUCCCUCGCUCUUUCUCUGCAAGUCUUUUCUCCCCUCGCUCUUUCUCGCUAGGUUUUCUUCCCUCGCUCUUUCUCGGCAGGUCCUUUUCCCUCGCUCUUCCUCGUUAGGUUUUCUCCCCUCGCUCUUUCUCGCUAGGUUUUCUUCCCUCGCUCUUUCUCGGUAGGUCCUUUUCCCUCGCUCCUGCUCGCUAGUUGUUUUUUUUUUUUUUUUCCCCCUCGCUCUUUCUCGGCAAGUCUUUUACCCCUCGCCUUUCCGCGAUAGGUCUUUUUCCUCGCUCUUUAUCCUCGGGUUUUCGCUAGGUUUACCCAUCGCCUUUCCUCGCGAGGUCGUUUCCCUAGCUCCUUUUUCCCCUUCGGGUUUUCGCUAGGUCUUUAACCCUCGCCUUUUCUCGGCAGGUCUUUCCUCCCCUCGCUCUUUCUUGGUAGGUCUUUUUCACUCGCUCUUUCUUGGUGGGUUUUCUCCCUCUUUUUUUUUUUCUCUCUAGGACUUUUCCCUCGUUCUUUUCCCCCUCGAUUUUUCACUAGGUGUUUUCCCCUCACUCUUUCUGUCUCACUCGUCGCGGCCCCGCUCGGCUCGGGUGAGAGAGAGAGUGGUGUGAUUUGCACGCGGGCAGAGGAAAUGAAAAAGGGCGGGGAGGAUGCGGGCCGCGGCGAGAGGCUUCAUAUCGCUCCCGCCGUCUGCGGGGGAAAAUGAGGCCAAUAUCGCGCCGCGCGGAGCCCUUAUCGCGGCCGGCCACUGCAAUAAGCCAAGCGAUGGGAGAUAGGGCCCGGGCCGCCGGGGGGCCUGGCCAGCACCCGCCGCCAGGGGGCGCAGGGCCGCCGCGCCGGGCCCAGGGUUGUUUUUGCCAGUUCUUUUGCAGGAGUGUGCUGAGAACAUGACAUAAUGACUAAACGUCAGUCUCUCAAAUUAAGGAUAAUGAUUAAAGCUCACAGCAAAGAGAAAAUCUUCCAGUUUGCCCCGGCACCGGCCACAUCGUAUCCUAAAUAGCUGCGGAAGCCUGAUGGCUGUCUUCAGGAAGACGAUUAUUUGAGAUGACUAGUUGCAG